rfam:Merops nubicus contig28681, whole genome shotgun sequence.
CCAAAGGCUCUUUUAAGAGCCACUCCAGGCACAGUAAAAAGAGCUG